rnacentral:rRNA from 1 species
GACGAACGCUGGCGGCGUGCCUUAUACAUGCAAGUCGAGCGAGCUUGCCUAGAUGAUUUUGAUGCUUGCAUCAAAUGAAACUAGAUACAAGCUAGCGGCGGACGGGUGAGUAACACGUGGGUAACCUGCCCAAGAGACUGGGAUAACACCUGGAAACAGAUGCUAAUACCGGAUAACAACAAUUGACGCAUGUCUAGAGUUUGAAAGAUGGGUUUUCUAUCACUCUUGGAUGGAACUGCGGUUCAUUAGAUAGUUGGUAAGGGAACGGCUUACCAAGGUGAUGAUGCAUAGCCGAGUUGAGAGACUGAUCGGCCACAUUGGGACUGAGACACGGCCCAAACUCCUACGGGAGGCAGCAGUAGGGAAUCUUCCACAAUGGACGAAAGUCUGAUGGAGCAACGCCGCGUGAGUGAAGAAGGGUUUCGGCUCGUAAAGCUCUGUUGAUGGUGAAGAAAGGUAGAGGUAGUAACUGGCCUUUAUUUGACGGUAAUCAUUUAGAAAGUCACGGCUAACUACGUGCCAGCCGCCGCGGUAA